rnacentral:rRNA from 1 species
GUUUGAGUCCUGGCUCAGAUUGAACGCUAGCGGCAGGCUUAAUACAUGCAAGUCGAGGGGCAGCACGGUUAGCAAUAACGUGGUGGCGACCGGCGCACGGGUGCGUAACACGUAUACAAUCUACCUUAAACAGGGGGAUAGCCUUUCGAAAGAGAGAUUAAUACCCCGUAAUAAAUUGAACGGCAUCGUUUGAUUUGAAAGCUCGGCGGUUUGAGAUGAGUAUGCGUCUGAUUAGCUAGUUGGUGAGGUAACGGCUCACCAAGGCGACGAUCAGUAGGGGACCUGAGAGGACUAAACCCCCCACACUGGUACUGAGACACGGACCAGACUCCUACGGGAGGCAGCAGUAAGGAAUAUUGGUCAAUGGAGGCAACUCUGAACCAGCCAUGCCGCGUGCAGGAUGACGGCCCUAUGGGUUGUAAACUGCUUUUAUACAAGAGAAAACCCUGGUACGUGUACCAAGUUGAUAGUAUUGUAAGAAUAAGCAUCGGCUAACUUCGUG